GCUAAAGAAGGUGCCAGACUGGAGCCCCACUGCUUCCUGAGACUAGUUCAAUCUGUGUUCAACAUCCAAAUUUAGGUUGGUGCUCUAUUUAAAGAAGAAUGACAAUGGGAUAGAUGAGAGCUGUGUCACUGCAAAGCCUGAAUCUGCUCUCCUCCACGAUGCUUUGGCAAAACAAGAGCCGCAGUAAUGGCUGUCUGGGUUUAUCCUUGAUAAACUGCGCAUCAAGAAGAUGCAAAAUCAGCCGCCCC